AUACGGAGGAUGCAAGCGUUAUCCGGAUUUAUUGGGUUUAAAGGGUUCGUAGGCGGAAAAUUAAGUCAGUGGUGAAAGCCUGCAGCUCAACUGCAGAACUGCCAUUGAUACUGAUUUUCUUGAAUUUAUAUGAAGUGGGCGGAAUGCGUCAUGUAGCGGUGAAAUGCACAGAUAUGACGCAGAACACCAAUUGCGAAGGCAGCUCACUAAUGUAAUAUUGACGCUGAGGAACGAAAGCAUGGGGAGCGAACAGGAUUAGAAACCCUAGUAGUCC
rnacentral:rRNA from 1 species